rnacentral:rRNA from 1 species
UUCAAUACUGUUGCGAAACGGUGUGCACUUUUCUCUUAGUAAGACGUUGUGAUCCAUUAGGAAUCGAAUGUGCGCUCUNNNNNNNNNNNUGGGGGCACCUCCAUCCCGGGGUAUUUACACCACAUAUAUGGGCAACCAUAUAUAGUAAAUAUACCAUGAGCAUACUGGACAUGACCCGAAAGAUGGUGAACUAUGCCUGAUCAGGUUGAAGUCAGGGGAAACCCUGAUGGAGGACCGAAGCAAUUCUGACGUGCAAAUCG